CGAAAUUACAGAGUAUUUAAUCAAUUCACAGUGAGUGUCUUAAUUAUAAUAGCAUGUUUACAUUCAACUUGUGAUCAAUAAGAGAACAGAGAAAACAAAGAAAUUACAAUCAUUUUAAUUCAAUUGGCAUGUUUAUACCAAUAAUAACACAGAUACAGCUACAACAAAAAAGAGAAACUGUACAUAAAAUUCUAAAACCACAUGGAAAUCUACAGCUGCUAUGUUCACUUGAAGGAUUAAGUGAAAGUACAGUCAAUGUUUAUCAGUAUCCUCAAAAGGAUAAGCUACAACCAGUAUGUUUAACACUGUAAUGUAUUUCAUGUUAUUAGCUUGGCUAAAAACACGAACCAUCCUCAAAUCGUACCAUUACAUUACAUACUGCAUAGAAAUUAUGAAAAAAAAUAACAGUUUCACAGCAGCUAUAUCAAAUGUUAUUGCAAUGCCUUCACCGAACAGAGACAAAAACCAUUUCACAGGCCUGAUGAAAAAUCCAGUACAUGAACUAGGGAGAAUUAACCAUAACUGUGGAUACAUAAUACAAUGUGGACAAUAGUUUAAAAAUUCAUAGGGCACAGUUUAAAACAGAAUUACCACCGUCCUACCCAAUAUAAACAAUAAAACAAGUAUUAUUGUGUAUAAACCCCCAACCCUUCUCCAUACAACAGGUUAAAUAAACUGUCCCUCAUAAAGCCUAUGGAAUGUUAGUGUCAGACAAGCGCUCCCAGUUGAAUAACAAGUUCCUGAUAUUGGCGUGAUUGCAUGUCAUUGCUACAAACCUGCCCCCCUCCCACUGACAACUGAACCAGACCACAAAAGAAAAGGGAAACACACAAUGACCAUAACCUUUCUUCCAGAGGUAAAAAAAAAAUAAAAUUGUUUCUACAAUCUUACUACUACACAACCUGCUUUUUCUUAAGAAAAUAGUUGAUAAAAAUAUUCUUCUGAAUUGUACAAGAAAGGAGGUACAGGGAGCACUGGCAAAAGGGUAAGGAUGUUAUUCUGCCUCAUCCUCCUCUUUCUCAGGCUCGUCUGCAUCAGCAUCUUCCUCUUCUGCUGCCUCCUGGCGGAUGAAAAAGUUACGUUCCCAUAUUACAGAACAGUUCUUUUAGGUCUAGUUGUUUACACUAUUUGUGUGUGGGGUACAAACAGCUGCAAUGCCAAUUAUUGUUGGUCUGUUUGUAAUACCCAAUACUCCUGAUUUUGAAUGUUGUAUAUCACUGGCAUGGCAUAUCGUAUAAUUGAAACUAAGGUAACAAGUCUUACCUCCUCAGCUUUGGCCUCUCCGUUUUCUGCCGGUGUUGCUUCUUCCUCAGGAUCCUCUUUCUUCUCCUCAGGCUUGGACUUCUCGACUACCGCCUUUACCUUUUUGGGUUUGGCUGCUGCCUUGACUGGUGUCUACAAGAAUCAGAAAUACAUGAGAUACAUUUCGAUGUACAAAUGUAUAAAUAUGUUUUGGGGUUGACAUUAGCUGAAAUUACAACAUUUAUUUUACCUUUGCCUUAGGCUCUGCUUUAGCUGGAGUAGUGGGUUUCUAUGAUAACCUCGUGGAUCUCCUCUUUGGCUGGUGAGAAAAAGAUAGUUAAAUCAGCUAUUGCAGAAAAAAUAAGUUAUUCAUAAUAUAAAAUUGUAUAAGAGCAUUAAAUACUAACCUCAACUUCAGUGUCAUUAUUUGCCUGUGAGUGGGUGGUGGGAGAGAAGAAGUAAAAUUCUUAGUAAAAACCAAGAACAACAAUCCCACAAUCAUAGGUCGGGAGCUGCAGGGAGAAGUGGGUGUGUAAUGCUAAGGGGGAUGGGCUCACAAACUGUACCCCCCCACUGCUUCAUCCCCAAAUUAGAUACAAAUUAUGUAAUCUGAAAGUGAGUGGGGGAGGGUAAACAUUUAACAUUACUAUGCCAUUUGACUUUUCCCAUUGUCAUGGUGCAAAAUGGAGCCUUUAUGGUACCAACUACCUUGAGAGUGACAAGUAAAAAGGUAUGUUAUAGUUAGGCUUUAGUAGCCCAUACGCAUAAAGGCCAAUAAACAGCCCCUCCCCCAUCAACCGACGGAGAUUUGUAAUAUGAAGGCAUCCAUCCACACGUUACGUCAACCAGUCAACUGUAUGUUCCCGCCAUUAGUUGAAUAUCUAUAAUUCUCCGAUACCAGUUUACCCAUAUGCGCUGUGGAGUAUGUCUUCAGAAAUUCGCUGUUACAUAAUGCAACAUUUGUUAGGGAAGCAAAGGCAGGGAAUGCACACAAAAUAAUAGCAAAUCCCCAAAAACUGAACACGUGACCAGCUAUGAAUCACGUGGUCGUUUUCUUUAGAAUUACUUUCUCUAAAACCCCAUUAAAGUGAUACAUGGCGCCGAGUUGUCGAUGCCUUUCCUAUUUGCAAGGGCUGCCAUGACACUUCAAAGAUCGUACCUUUCCGUGCCAUAGGGUGUCGCGCAUUACAAUACGCUUUACUGCACACAGGACACAAAGUGAUAAUAUAGGAUGCCACAGGCAUGGGCUAUUAAAAGUAUAUGAAUAUAAACGUGAACCAAAUAUAUAGGCGAUUAAAGCAAUCCCAAUAUUCACAAAAUAUCCUUUAGAUCAUGCACGCAUUUCUGCAAUGGCAACAUGUAGUUUAGUUACAUUGCAGGUGGGUUACACCCCUUUGUCUGAUCUCAUUGCUGAGAAGGCUAUUAAAAGCUACUUUACAUUCAUGAAAGACCCGAUAUGCGUCAAAUUAAAUUAUAUGAUUAAGUAACUUAUAUAAAAAGCACAAGCUGCGAUAGUUUAUCAUGUAACGUUACAGGUUACUAAAAUGAGAAAGUGAGAACGAAAGCAAAAUGUUACCACACUAAGUAAAAAGGCGCCACUUCCAUUUCGACAAGACAGACACACUAAAACACAUUCAUACUUUAGAGAAAACUUGUUACAUUGUAUCAAGCAUAUUUUAGAGUACAUGCGAUUGUUGCAGAUAUUUAUAAAAACACUUCAUGUGAGAAAUUAUACAUUGUAAAAUAAGGUUUAAAUUAAAAGGUAAACAUUCCAACUUACUUUGCUUCUUUUCGGCAUGGCUGCUUUGCUUGUAUUGUCUAGAGAAUUAGAGGACAAAUUAGCCUUCUCAGUUACUGAAAAUUCAAUGCAGGCUUCUGAAUGUGUCCGAUGUAAGUCACUCAAUUCCUUCAGAACACACUGUAACUAACGUAAAUAUUUAAUCAGUAGGCCUACGUCCAGAAACUAGCUGAAACUGGAUUGGAUCCCCCCUCUUUAUAUUGUAUUCCUUAUCCUACCAACCUGAC
ensembl:lncRNA